rnacentral:rRNA from 1 species
GUCUUGUACACACCGCCCGUCACACCACGAGAGUUUACAACACCCGAAGUCAGUGGCCUAACCGCAAGGAGGGAGCUGCCUAAGGUGGGGUANAUGAUUGGGGUGAAGUCGUAACAAGGUACC